rnacentral:rRNA from 1 species
UACAGGGGGUGCAAACGUUGCUCGGAAUUAUUGGGCGUAAAGCGCGCGUAGGCGGCUAUCUAAGUCGGAUGUGAAAGCCCCUGGCUUAACUGGGGAAGUGCACCCGAAACUGGGUAGCUAGAGUGCAAAAGAGGGUCGCGGAAUUCCCGGUGUAAAGGUGAAAUUCGUAGAUAUCGGGAGGAACACCGGUGGCGAAGGCGGCGACCUGGGUUGACACUGACGCUGAGGCGCGAAAGCGUGGGGAGCAAACAGG